GACGAACGCUGGCGGCGUGCUUAACACAUGCAAGUCGAACGGAAAGGCCCUGCUUGCAGGGUACUCGAGUGGCGAACGGGUGAGUAACACUUGGGUGAUCUGCCCUGCACUUCGGGAUAAGCCUGGGAAACUGGGUCUAAUACCGGAUAGGAGCCAUUUUUAGUGUGAUGGUUGGAAAGUUUUUUCGGUGUAGGAUGAGCUCGCGGCCUAUCAGCUUGUUGGUGGGGUAGUGGCCUACCAAGGCGGCGACGGGUAGCCGGCCUGAGAGGGUGGACGGCCACAUUGGGACUGAGAUACGGCCCAGACUCCUACGGGAGGCAGCAGUGGGGAAUAUUGCACAAUGGGCGCAAGCCUGAUGCAGCGACGCCGCGUGGGGGAUGACGGCCUUCGGGUUGUAAACUCCUUUCGCUAGGGACGAAGCUUUUGUGACGGUACCUAGAUAAGAAGCACCGGCUAACUACGUG
rnacentral:rRNA from 1 species